rnacentral:tRNA from 1 species
GAGGGUAUAGCUCAAGUGGUAGAGCUCAUGCUUAGCAUGCAUGAGGUCCUGGGUUCAAUCCCCAGUACCUCCU